CCUACGGGAGGCAGCAGUGGGGAAUAUUGCGCAAUGGGCGAAAGCCUGACGCAGCGACGCCGCGUGAGGGAUGAAGGUCUUCGGAUCGUAAACCUCUGUCAGCAGGGAAGAACGGUCACUGUGCUAAUCAGCAGUGAAUUGACGGUACCUGCAAAGGAAGAACCGGCUAACUCCGUGCCAGCAGCCGCGGUAAUACGGAGGGUGCGAGCGUUAAUCGGAAUUACUGGGCGUAAAGCGCUCGUAGGCGGUAUGUCAAGUCAAGGGGGAAAUCCCCGCGCUCAACGUGGGAACUGCAUUUGAAACUGGCAAACUGGAGUGUGUGAGAGGAUAGUGGAAUUCCAGGUGUAGGAGUGAAAUCCGUAGAUAUCUGGAGGAACAUCAGUGGCGAAGGCGACUAUCUGGCACAUAACUGACGCUGAGGAGCGAAAGCGUGGGUAGCAAACAGGAUUAGAUACCCCUGUAGUC
rnacentral:rRNA from 1 species